rnacentral:lncRNA from 1 species
AUUUGAAAUGUAAAUGAAGAAAAUACCUAAUAAGUAAAUAAAAUAAAAAAGAAAGAGUCCCAUGAAAACUUUUGGUGCCUAAAUAUUUAGAAAGAGACAAAUGCACGCAUUAUUUAUUCCAUUGAAAGGAGAAGGUGAACUCUGUAUUAAUAUUGCUGUCUGAUUUGCAUUCCUAGUUGUGCUUUCUCAGUGAGUCCACUGAGCUUGUAUAAAAGAAGCUUAUAUAUAAGUAUAAGUGGACAUUAAGGUAAAUUGAAGCAGCCUAUUGAAUAAACCAAGAAAAAUAGUACUCAUAAAAAAAAAAAAAGCCUGAUGUGAACUAUCACUGAGAAAUAUCCAUUGAGAUUUGAGGCAGUUUCUGGAAGGGUCUUUGCUCUGACGCCUACAUCCGUCACAUGUUAUCUCCUGCUUUCCUGCUUGCUAGCUGAGGUGCCUUGUUUGUUGCCAUGUGAAAGAAACUCACCAAGCUUCCCUGUCACUUGGUGGUUGAGGGAUGUGCCUAGAGGAGCCCCCAGCUUAAGCACUUAUGUCUGUAGAGAUAAUCUCUCAGGUACUGUGUCGAAGCAUCACCUGUCAUUAAAGAUCUGGUGGCCUAUCUUAUUGGCAUUUUAGAAAAUAAAGGGCCAGGAAAUAAACACUUGAGGUUUUCUAGGUCAAGGGGUAAAACCAAAUAUGCCGCAUGGUGUUUUUUGCCAAAGGCAGGAAGUAGAAACUGGGAGUUCCAGUAGACAGACUGAAACUCUGGGAGGUUCACCACCUGCACUCUGAGGAAAUUAGAUAUAUGAUACUGAGAAGUAACCAGCCAUGUGGCAGACAUAGAAUAGUUUAAACAGGUUAAGUAAGUUAGGAGUUAGAUGAGGAAUAGGCCUAGCAAACGGCCAUAAACAUUGUUAAAUGAAUAGUAAGCUACUGGGAACUAGAGCAGGAGAAGGAGAGCCUGCAACUCCGCGAGUCUCUCAAUCCACACCUCCUCCUGUGUUGGUUUUACCUGUUAUUCUCCUGAUAGUAUAAUGGGGCAGCUUUUAAAGAUUUAAGUGUGUGUGUGUGUGUGUGUGUGUGUGUGUGUGUGUGUUUAUUUGUUGACUCUUAGGGCUAGAGAGAUGGCUCAGUGACUAAGAGCUUGUGUUGCUCCUGCAGAGGAUCAGGAUUGGGCUCCCAGCACCCACGUGGUGGAUCACAGGUGUCUGUAACGCCAGUUUUAGAGUUCUGGCGACAUUGUCUGUCCUCUGUGGGUAUUUCAUGCAUGCGAUAUACACUCAGACACAUGCGAUAUACACUCAUGCGAUAUACACUCAGACACAUAUACACAGACAUAACAUUUAAAAACCAAAAUAAAUCUUUAAAAUGUUCUACUCAGUAUUUUUCAAUACGUUAAAGGUGAAAUUUUUUUAGGGUGUCUAGUUCACUAUAUCAUCUCUGGCAUGCGUGUAUAUUUGGUUGUUGUAGGGACAGGGUGUCAAGUAGCCCAGGUUGACCUUAACUGACUUGUGUAACUGAGACUGGUGUGAACCAUCUGCUCGGCCUUCUGAGUGUGGAGCUUACAGGCAUGUGCCCAGCUCCUGUUCUGAAAGCUCUAAUCUUCCCAGAAUAUGAAUUCAGAGGUGACCUUGCCUUGUUUCCCAGUGGUACACAUCCUCUGGUAUUUAUUUGCUUGCAUAAUCCUCUUCUGCAUCAAAUCAAGGAUGCUCAGGGUGGCCGAUAAAAUACAGCAGAAGUGAUGGUUUGACAGAGACUACGGCACAAAAGAACCUUUUAUCUGUUUGCUCUUCUACAAAAGUCAUUUCAGUGGCGACCAACCACCAUGCCAUAGAGACACUCACUCACACAGAGAUGCGCCAUUUGAAGAACAGAUGCCCACCACAAGAAGAAUGCCCAUGCCAGUUAAACAGUAUCAUGCUGAAAUGUUCAUGAACUCCAAAAGACCACCAAGGAGCCGGAUCCGAUGCUAUCACACCAGGGACUUUAUUCACAAGCUCGAGCGUGGGUCUUGAUUCACUGCUGACCCACAGGACGGUUCCAUGGAAAAAUUCCUUGAUCACUCACUGGGACAAGGUUUUAUAGGAAAUCACAAGUGAAGGGUGAGUGUUUCAAGCCUAGCAAGCAUCUAAUUGGGGUGCUACUGUGACCUUUGGUGUAAUUGGCUGGUGCUGGGAGCCAAACGUUGGCUUUCCUCCUAAUUGGUGGUUGUUAGGCAGGGGCGGCCUUGUAACCUGGAGGUGUUGGGAUUUGCUGGGGAUUAACCUGGAAAUUGGUGCUAGACAGUGGAUUUGUUAGAGGAGAAUAAACUGGAGAUCCAGAUCUUGUUAGGGGUAGCCUGGAAACUGGAGCUAAGCUCAGGUUUUGUUUUGGGUAAUCUGGAAACUGGAGCUAGGUACCGACCUGUUAAUUUACUUAAGUCAAGUUUGUCUAAGAUGGAGUCUGAACCCAAAGAAUUUGAUCUUUCAACAGCAAGUGACAUAACCUUGGCCAAGAUGUGCUCACUGCCUUUUGAGAGCCUGGGGCCAGACCCACACAGCUAAGGAGCCCCUGAAUUCUUGAUCUUCAGAUGCCAAAUGCUGUCAGAAAUGGUUGCUAUUUAAAAUGGCUAAAGGGUCAGCAGGAUAGAUCAAUGGGUAGAGCACUUUCCUCACAUUCCUAACAACUUAAGUAUGAGCUCUGGAGCCCACAUAAGGUAGAAUAUGAGAAAUGACUCCACAAAUCUGUCCUUUGAUCUUCCACAUGCACUUUGGGAGCCUGCACAUGAUCAAAAAUAAUAAAUAAAUAAAUAAAUAAAUAAAUAAAGCUACUAAGUUGGGAAGGUACCUAGCAAAACAUAAAUUGGAGCUCUUUCUGCUCUAAUGUAAUUCCAAACAUUUUAGAAACACUUUUGACAAUAGAAAGAUUUCAUUAAAUCUUGUGUCUACAAUAUACAUGAAUCCUGACAAUGACACACUACUCACAUUGUCUCAUAGGACUUCAGAAUUGCAAAGCUUGGAUACACACUCAUGGAGUAUGGGAUGGUGCUUCCAGCAGCUGCUGGGGGUUGCUGGGGGUUUGCAGAAUCCCAAAGACCUGUGGUUAAUGGGGAACAGGUGACCAUGGGGUCCCUGAGGGGGCUCUCACUCCACGUCUUUGCCCACAUUGUCCCUUGCUGAGUUUCUAAGUGUUGAGGUUUGGUCUGAUGCUAUGCAUUGUAAUGCUAAAUUCUAUAGCCAAAGGUCUUGGCCUACAAAAGACUUCUCCUGUUUACAAGCUUGUGUUCUGCAAACCUUGUCCCUUGAUUUAAAGCUACUGGUUAAAUAAAAUUCUCUACAGCCAAUUACUGGAGGGAUUAGAGGUUUGGGGUGACCUCAUGGGUCAGAGGAGAACCAAGGAGAACUAGAAGGUACAGAAGACAAAGGAGAAGGUGCCAUGGUUUGGGAAUCAUAAAAACAUGGCCCUGAGGGCUGGCCAAUUGGAGUUAAGAGCAGCCCAGAUGAAACAUAGUUAAGUAGUAAGUAAUAAUUCAGAGUUAUCAAUAGGAAAGUAGAUUCUAAUAACGUAGAGGGUAAGUAUCCACCCAGCUCUUGUGCUGUUGAAGGUUUAUUGUAAUUAUAAAGGCUGUGUGUGUCUUCUAUCUGGGAACUAAAGAGUCAAAGGCAGGGUAGAAGCCCCAGGUCAGGAUUAAAAAUUUUCUACAUCUAAGCCCUGCCCACUCCUUGCACAGCUCAGAUCUCACCUAUGCAGCUCUCUGACUCUACUGAAGAAGGAAAUUGGUCCCUCCUCCCUGUGAGUCUUCCUCAUUCCUGCAGUGACUCAGGCAGCUCAGGGCAUGCUGCACCAUCCCCCACAACAGAUGAGAAACAUCUAGACAGCCAUGGAGCCCAGGCCCUGAUACCUCUCUUUGUAUAUCAUGUAUGAUGACUGACUAGGAAAUGGGAUGCCUCCUAAGAGAGGACCAUAUUUAGGAUAUAGUUUUAAUAAGGGACACACCCACAGGAAAUAGUUAAGCUAACCACCAUGGAAGGUUAUAGUGUGUUCCCUUGACAAAGAUACUAGAAGGAGGAGCUGUCUCCCCUAGUCUGUGCCACCCAGAAGCAACUCUUGUUAUAAACACAGAUAUGCAAGAAGAGCCCUGACCCCUAUACAGCAGCAAGGCCUUGCCACCCACAACCUGACCUGGGAUACACACCCAUGUAUGUGUUCUGCAGUUAGAAACCCAGAUAUGAGGCUGGCCCUUCAUUCAGUUAUAUGGCAAAGGCUGUUUGCUACCUUCUCUGGGUACUGACUGAAUCUAGUAGUGACCUCGGCUUAGGCACAUGUCCAACCAGGAUUGGUGUGGGUAGCACAUUUCUCUUUCUCCUAGUCAGAUCAUACGUUUUGUGAACGGGUUUAAUGUUCAGUUUCCUGGUUAAGCCA